CAGCAGCCACGGUAAUACAGAGGGUGCGAGCGUUAAUCGGAUUUACUGGGCGUAAAGCGUGCGUAGGCGGCUAAUUGAGUCGGAUGUGAAAUCCCCGAGCUUAACUUGGGAAUUGCAUUCGAUACUGGUUAGCUAGAGUGUGGGAGAGGAUGGUAGAACUCCAGGUGUAGCGGUGAAAUGCGUAGAGAUCUGGAGGAAUACCGAUGGCGAAGGCAGCCAUCUGGCCUAACACUGACGCUGAGGUACGAAAGCAUGGGGAGCAAACAGGAUUAGAUACCCCAGUAGUCCCUGUCUCUUAUAA
rnacentral:rRNA from 1 species